rnacentral:rRNA from 1 species
CAGUCGAGCGGUAGAGAGAAGCUUGCUUCUCUUGAGAGCGGCGGACGGGUGAGUAAUGCCUAGGAAUCUGCCUGGUAGUGGGGGAUAACGUUCGGAAACGGACGCUAAUACCGCAUACGUCCUACGGGAGAAAGCAGGGGACCUUCGGGCCUUGCGCUAUCAGAUGAGCCUAGGUCGGAUUAGCUAGUUGGUGGGGUAAUGGCUCACCAAGGCGACGAUCCGUAACUGGUCUGAGAGGAUGAUCAGUCACACUGGAACUGAGACACGGUCCAGACUCCUACGGGAGGCAGCAGUGGGGAAUAUUGGACAAUGGGCGAAAGCCUGAUCCAGCCAUGCCGCGUGUGUGAAGAAGGUCUUCGGAUUGUAAAGCACUUUAAGUUGGGAGGAAGGGUUGUAGAUUAAUACUCUGCAAUUUUGACGUUACCGACAGAAUAAGCACCGGCUAACUCUGUGCCAGCAGCCGCGGUAAUACAGAGGGUGCAAGCGUUAAUCGGAAUUACUGGGCGUAAAGCGCGCGUAGGUGGUUAGUU